GGAGUGGUAGUUCAGUUGGUUAGAAUACCGGCCUGUCACGCCGGGGGUCGCGGGUUCGAGCCCCGUCCGCUCCGCCA
rnacentral:tRNA from 83 species